rnacentral:lncRNA from 1 species
ACUCUUACAACUUUCGUUGUUGGUGAUGGAAAAGGGGCGAAGAUUUCCGCACUUGGCGAUCUCAUAGAGCUUCGCGGAGAACUUACCAUUCUUGAGCUGCAUAGAGUUGGGGAUGUCAGGGAUGCAGAAGAAGCAAAUUUGGAGACCAAGAUCCAUCUAAAAGUGAUAGAUUUUACCUGGAGAACAUCGGGUCCUCUCUAUAACCAAAUCUCAGGGAAGCUGAACGAAGACGCGAUCUUUGAGAAGUUACGUCCACAUAACAAGAUAGAGGCACUCACCAUAACAAAAUAUUAUGGAAAUAGU